GUGUCCGCCGCCGCGGUACCACGUAGGGGACGAGCGUUGUCCGGAUUCAUUGGGCGUAAAGCGCGCGUAGGCGGCUCGGAAAGUCGGGCGUGAAAUGCCGGGGCUCAACCCCGGGACUGCGUCCGAUACUUCCGAGCGGGAGGUAGGUAGGGGAGAUCGGAAUUCCUGGUGUAGCGGUGAAAUGCGCAGAUAUCAGGAGGAACACCGGUGGCGAAGGCGGAUCUCUGGGCCUUACCUGACGCUGAGGCGCGAAAGAUAGGGGAGCGAACAGGAGGAUCAACCAGCGGCUUAC
rnacentral:rRNA from 1 species